UGGGGAAUAUUGGACAAUGGGCGAAAGCCUGAUCCAGCCAUGCCGCGUGUGUGAAGAAGGUCUUCGUAUUGUAAAGCACUUUAAGUUGGGAGGAAGGGUUGUAGAUUAAUACUCUGCAAUUUUGACGUUACUGACAGAAUAAGCACCGGCUAACUCUGUGCCAGCAGCCGCGGUAAUACAGAGGGUGCAAGCGUUAAUCGGAAUUACUGGGCGUAAAGCGCGCGUAGGUGGUUUGUUAAGUUGGAUGUGAAAUCCCCGGGCUCAACCUGGGAACUGCAUUCAAAACUGACUGACUAGAGUAUGGUAGAGGGUGGUGGAAUUUCCUGUGUAGCAGUGAAAUGCGUAGAUAUAGGAAGGAACACCAGUGGCGAAGGCGACCACCUGGACUAAUACUGACACUGAGGUGCGAAAGCGUGGGGAGCAAACAGG
rnacentral:rRNA from 1 species